GGCGGACGGGUGAGUAACACGUGGGCAACCUGCCUGUAAGACUGGAUAACUCCGGGAAACCGGGGCUAAUACCGGAUAAUUCUUUCCCUCACAUGAGGGAAAGCUGAAAGAUGGUUUCGGCUAUCACUUACAGAUGGGCCCGCGGCGCAUUAGCUAGUUGGUGAGGUAACGGCUCACCAAGGCAACGAUGCGUAGCCGACCUGAGAGGGUGAUCGGCCACACUGGGACUGAGACACGGCCCAGACUCCUACGGGAGGCAGCAGUAGGGAAUCUUCCGCAAUGGACGAAAGUCUGACGGAGCAACGCCGCGUGAGUGAUGAAGGUUUUCGGAUCGUAAAACUCUGUUGUUAGGGAAGAACAAGUACCGGAGUAACUGCCGGUACCUUGACGGUACCUAACCAGAAAGCCACGGCUAACUACGUGCCAGCAGCCGCGGUAAUACGUAGGUGGCAAGCGUUGUCCGGAAUUAUUGGGCGUAAAGCGCGCGCAGGCGGUUCCUUAAGUCUGAUGUGAAAGCCCCCGGCUCAACCGGGGAGGGUCAUUGGAAACUGGGGAACUUGAGUGCAGAAGAGAAGAGUGGAAUUCCACGUGUAGCGGUGAAAUGCGUAGAGAUGUGGAGGAACACCAGUGGCGAAGGCGACUCUUUGGUCUGUAACUGACGCUGAGGCGCGAAAGCGUGGGGAGCAAACAGGAUUAGAUACCUGGUAGUCCACGCCGU
rnacentral:rRNA from 1 species